rnacentral:misc_RNA from 1 species
CCCAUCUAUCAACCUCCAAGUUGGUCUUGUUUGUCCAUCAACACAUUCUGUUCCCAUGGCUUUGCAUUCAGUCUUCUUGGUAUCAAGUGGCAAAUCAAAUAUUCCAUGCAGAUGAGUAGAUACAAUACCAAGACAACCAAUGUUAUCAAGAGUUUCAACAAUGCUUCCAGCAAUACAAGUCCCUUUUGCUGUUUCUGUCCCUCGACAUAUUUCAUCUACAAGCACAAGACUACUUG